rnacentral:rRNA from 1 species
AGUGAACGCUGGCGGUAGGCCUAACACAUGCCAGUCGAACGGCAGCACAGUAAGAGCUUGCUCUUACGGGUGGCGAGUGGCGGACGGGUGAGGAAUACAUCGGAAUCUACUUUUUCGUGGGGGAUAACGUAGGGAAACUUACGCUAAUACCGCAUACGACCUACGGGUGAAAGCAGGGGAUCUUCGGACCUUGCGCGAUUGAAUGAGCCGAUGUCGGAUUAGCUAGUUGGCGGGGUAAAGGCCCACCAAGGCGACGAUCCGUAGCUGGUCUGAGAGGAUGAUCAGCCACAAUGGAAAUGAGACACGGUCCAGACCCCUACGGGAGGCAGGAGUGGGGAAUAUUGGACAAUGGGCGCAAGCCUUAUCCAGCCAUACCGGGGGGGUGAAGAAGGCCUUCGGGUUGUAAAGCCCUUUUGUGGGGAAAAAAAAGCAGCAGGUUAAUACCCCGCUGUUCUGACGGUACCCAAAGAAUAAGCACCGGCUAAUUUCGU